rnacentral:rRNA from 1 species
AUGAUAGAAGAGUUGGAAGCACUGAGAAAAAACAAGACGUGGGUGCUAACCACGUUGCCAGCAGAAAAGAAAGCAGUGAGUUGUAAGUGGAUCUAUACAGUGAAGCAGAAUCCUGAGGGGAAGGUGGAACGGUACAAGGCUAGAUUGGUCGCCAGAGGAUAUAGUCAAACUUAUGGAAUUGACUAUGAUGAAACAUUUGCUCCCGUGGCAAAGAUGAACACAGUAAGGAUAUUGGUCUCAUGUGCUGCAAACUUUGGGUGGAAGUUGCAUCAAUUAGAUGUCAAGAAUGCCUUCUUGCAUGGUGAGUUGCAGGAAGAAGUGUACAUGGAGAUACCACCAGGUUUUGGUACUUCAGAGACCACGGGGAAGGUAUGCAGGCUGAAGAAAUCCUUGUAUGGACUGAAGCAAUCACCAAGGGCAUGGUUUGAUAGGUUCAGACGUGCCAUCCGUGGUAUGGGGUAUGGUCAGUGUAACGGUGACCACACGAUGUUCUACAGGCACUCCGAUCGGAAGAUCACCAUCCUUGCUGUUUAUGUGGAUGACAUUAUCAUCACUGGAGAUGAUAAGGAGGAAUACAGAGAUUGA